rnacentral:rRNA from 1 species
CGUGGACAACCUACCCUAAGGAGGGGGAUAACCCCGGAAAACUGGGGAUAAUACCCCAUAGAUUAUAGAAGCUGGAAUGCUCUGUAGUCGAAAGGUCCGCCGCCUUAGGAUGGGUCUGCGGCCGAUUAGGUUGUUGUUGGGGUAAAGGCCCAACAAGCCGUUGAUCGGUACGGGUUGUGAGAGCAAGAGCCCGGAGAUGGAUUCUGAGACACGAAUCCAGGCCCUACGGGGCGCAGCAGGCGCGAAAACUUUACAAUGCGGGAAACCGUGAUAAGGGAACCCCGAGUGCCCGUAAAAUCGGGCUGUCCAUCAGUGUAAAUAACUGGUGAAGAAAGGGCCGGGCAAGACCGGUGCCAGCCGCCGCGGUAAUACCGGCGGCUCGAGUGGUGGCCACUAUUAUUGGGCUUAAAGCGUCCGUAGCUUGAUUGUUAAGUCUCUUGGGAAAUCUACCGGCUCAACCGAUAGGCGUUCAAGGGAUACUGGCAAUCUAGGGACCGGGAGAGGUGAGAGGUACUCCAGGGGUAGGAGUGAAAUCCUGUAAUCCUUGGGGGACCACCUGUGGCGAAGGCGUCUCACUAGAACGGCUCCGACAGUGAGGGACGAAAGCUG